rnacentral:lncRNA from 1 species
GGUAAGGAUAUACUAGAGGUUUAAUCUAUUUGAACAUUUCUCAGAUUAAAAAGUCAAGGACAUAUGUCUCCAUGUUGUUCGGAAACUAUUUAUUUUUCCGUCUAAAUUAUAAUUAUUCAAGUGCUCAAUGUUAUUUAGCUCGAUCGAUUUCUCUUGGUUUUCAAUAAUGUCGAUCAAUUUGACUAAACACUCAUUCAAUCUUUAACUUUUUCUCUUCCAAUCUCUACUUUAGACU